rnacentral:rRNA from 1 species
GAUGAACGCUGGCGGCGUGCCUAAUACAUGCAAGUCGAGCGAACAGAUGAGGAGCUUGCUCCUCUGACGUUAGCGGCGGACGGGUGAGUAACACGUGGAUAACCUACCUAUAAGACUGGGAUAACUUCGGGAAACCGGAGCUAAUACCGGAUAAUAUAUUGAACCGCAUGGUUCAAUAGUGAAAGACGGUUUUGCUGUCACUUAUAGAUGGAUCCGCGCCGCAUUAGCUAGUUGGUAAGGUAACGGCUUACCAUGGCAACGAUGCGUAGCCGACCUGAGAGGGUGAUCGGCCACACUGGAACUGAGACACGGUCCAGACUCCUACGGGAGGCAGCAGUAGGGAAUCUUCCGCAAUGGGCGAAAGCCUGACGGAGCAACGCCGCGUGAGUGAUGAAGGUCUUCGGAUCGUAAAAUUCUGUUAUUAGGGAAGAACAAAUGUGUAAGUAACUAUGCACGUCUUGACGGUACCUAAUCAGAAAGCCACGGCUAACUACGUG